GACGAACGCUGGCGGCGUGCUUAACACAUGCAAGUCGAGCGGAAAGGCCCUUCGGGUUACUCGAGCUGGGAAGGGGUGAGUGAGAGUUGAAUAAGCUGAACCCGCCUUUGGGAUAACGGUAGGAACCGGGGACUACGGCCGGAAACGACACAGAUUUGCUGGGGCUCUGUGUGGAAAGGUGAGCGGCUUGGGAUGGGCUCGUGGCAUAUGAGUUUGUUGGUGGGGUGCUGGUCUACCAAGGCGAAGACGGGUAGCCGGCCUGAGCGGGCGACCGGCCACAGUGGGACUGAGACACGGCCCAGACUCCUACGGGAGGCAGCAGUGGGGAAUAUUGCACAAUGGGCGGAAGCCUGAUGCAGCGACGCCGCGUGCGGGAUGACGGCCUUCGGGUUGUAAACCUCUUUCAGCAGGGACGAAGCGUAAGUGACGGUACCUGCAGAAGAAGCGCCGGCUAACUACGUG
rnacentral:rRNA from 1 species